rnacentral:lncRNA from 1 species
CUGAAAACGUUUUUAUGCCUCAAAAUUAACAUACACAUAUAUAUUCUCCUAUAUAUUAGUAAGUUGCUGAUUUGGGGGAGCAGUAGUACUGUGGGUUAUCCUUGCUAGUAAUAGUAAUUAAAGUAAUUUAUAUUUUUAUAGCAUUUUACAGGCAUCACUAAUGUCUAUGAAGUUGUACUUGUCAGCGAGUCAGAGAGUGAACAUUGAGGGGAGUGCCCAGAGCUUUCUAAUAUGAUGUUUACCAAGAGUCUGUGAACUAGAGCA